GAACUCCUGGCCGUCCACGGUGAUGAUGACAUCACACAAGGUGCCAGUCAGACGCAUCUGAUUGGCCCUCUGCAGAAGCGUACUGGGGCCACAUCACCUAACAUCCGGUAUGUCGGUGGCUGCCUGCUGCUGACUUGACGGGCUGCAGAUCAUCACCGGGGCGACGUCACGGCUCUGAAUGAUCGCCCUCUGCUCCUCGUCUCUCCAUCAGGGCUGCAAUCAGAGACAUCUACAGGGCAUCUGAACUACUGACGGGCUACGAGGUCGACCACCCUGCUUCCUGCCAAUGGUGUCCUGAACUUGUCAAGCAGUCGCUCUUGGUGAGUGAUUUUUUAUACAAAAGACAAAAACUGAAAAAAGAAAAUUCAAAAACCACAUUACAGAACACUUGAAUAACAACUGGGGGGGAGGGAGAAAUAAAAACAAUGUGUAGUUAUGCCAGAA